rnacentral:rRNA from 1 species
ACAGUCACACAUUAGAUACCCGUGUAGUCCCAGCCCUAAACGAUGCGCGUUAGGUGUAUCGGUGACCACGAGUCACCGAGGUGCCGAAGGGAACCGUGAAACGUGCCGCCUGGGAAGUACGGUCGCAAGGCUGAAACUUAAAGGAAUUGGCGGGGAGCACCACAACGGGUGGAGCCUGCGGUUUAAUUGGACUCAACGCCGGGAAGCUCACCGGAUAAGACAGCGGAAUGAUUGCCGGGCUGAAGACCCUGCAUGACCAGCUG